UACGUAGGGAGCAAGCGUUGUCCGGAAUCAUUGGGCGUAAAGCGCGCGUAGGUGGCUUCGUAAGUCCGUUGUGAAAGUCAAAGGCUCAACCUUUGAAAGCCGAUGGAUACUGUGAAGCUAGAGUACGGAAGAGGCGAGUGGAAUUCCUGGUGUAGCGGUGGAAUGCGCAGAUAUCAGGAGGAACACCAAUAGCGAAGGCAGCUCGCUGGGACGGUACUGACGCUGAGGCGCGAAAGCGUGGGGAGCAAACAGG
rnacentral:rRNA from 1 species